ACGUAGGUGGCAAGCGUUGUCCGGAAUUACUGGGUGUAAAGGGAGCGUAGGCGGGGAGGCAAGUUGAAUGUCUAAACUAUCGGCUCAACUGAUAGUCGCGUUCAAAACUGCCACUCUUGAGUGCAGUAGAGGUAGGCGGAAUUCCUAGUGUAGCGGUGAAAUGCGUAGAUAUUAGGAGGAACACCAGUGGCGAAGGCGGCCUACUGGGCUGUAACUGACGCUGAGGCUCGAAAGCGUGGGUAGCAAACAG
rnacentral:rRNA from 1 species